CCCUUAGAUGUCCUGGGCCGCACGCGCGUUACACUGAUGCAUUCAACGAGCUUAUAACCUUGGCCGAGAGGCCUGGGCAAUCUUGUUAACGUGCAUCGUGAUAGGGAUAGAUUAUUGAAAUUAUUAAUCUUGAACGAGGAAUUCCUAGUAAACGCAGAUCAUCAAUCUGCAUUGAUUACGUCCCUGCCCUUUGUACACACCGCCCGUCGCACCUACCGAUUGGAUGGUCCGGUGAAGCCUCCGGAUUGGCGCGCACCUCGGUGCCGCCGAGAAGUUGGCUAAACCUUACCAUUUAGAGGAAGGUGAAGUCGUAACA
rnacentral:rRNA from 1 species